GUCUGCUGACAUUGGAGUUCGCAUGCUCCUCACAAGCGAAUCAUCGGAAGGGUGGAUUGAUUGGACUUGCUGCGGCAGCUGUAGGUUUGGCGACAGAAGCUGCUCAACAUCUUGAGGUCCAGAUAUAUUGGGUUGUAACUGCUAGGAGCUGAUUCCAGGGUUGUUCACCACGCGAGUGUGUGUGUGUAACUUCUCUAAAGCAAACAAAAGCAAAGAAUAUGCUUAGAAAGGGGCAUCACCAAACCGAUUAUGAGGGACCUCUUUUCACUCCUUUCACAAGAGCUUUGAUAUGUCAUUAGCUUCUGUAAAAUGCUGAAUUGAUAUCUCUUUCCUACUUUUGAGUGCAUGUUACAGUGACACCAGGUCAAAUGACCAUGUAAUGUGGGUGGAUGUGUGAGUAGUCCACAUUGAGAUGCCUAUUAGUUUCUAUAGACAUACACUCGUGUACUGUAUAAUUCAUACAUGUUUAGUUCAUAUUUGUUUUA